ACAGUAUUACAAUGAGUUAGUAGACGCAGUUGAUUCAAAAUCAACCGUAGAAAUACGUGCCGGUUCGAGUCCGGCCUUCGCACCA
rnacentral:tRNA from 1 species